rnacentral:rRNA from 1 species
GACGAACGCUGGCGGCGUGCUUAACACAUGCAAGUCGAACGGAAAGGCCCUGCAUUUUUGGUUUGCUCGAGUUGCGAACGGGUGCGUAACACUUGCGUAACCUGCCCUUGCCUUUGGGAUAACUUCAGGAAACUGGGGCUAAUACCGGAUAGGAGCUCCUGCUGCAUGGUGGGGGUUUGAAAGUUUCGGCGGUUGGGGAUGUACUCGCGGCUUAUCAGCUUGUUGGUGGGGUAGUGGAUUACCAAGGCUUUGACGGGUAGCCGGCCUGAGAGGGUGACCGGCCACAUUGGGACUGAGAUACGGCCCAGACGCCUACGGGAGGCAGCAGUGGGGAAUAUUGCAAAAUGGGCGGAAGCCGGAUGCAGCAACGCCGCGUGCGGGAUGACGGCCUUCGGGUUGUAAACCGCUUUCGCCUGUGACGAAGCGUGAGUGACGGUAAUGGGUAAAGAAGCACCGGCUAACUACGUG